rnacentral:rRNA from 1 species
UUAAGCGACCAAGCGUACACGGUGGAUGCCCUGGCAGUCAGAGGCGAUGAAGGACGUGCUAAUCUGCGAAAAGCGCCGGUAAGGUGAUAUGAACCGUUAUAACCGGCGAUGUCCGAAUGGGGAAACCCAGUGUGACUCGUCACACUAUCAUUAACUGAAUCCAUAGGUUAAUGAGGCGAACCGGGGGAACUGAAACAUCUAAGUACCCCGAGGAAAAGAAAUCAACCGAGAUUCCCCCAGUAGCGGCGAGCGAACGGGGAGGAGCCCAGAGCCUGAAUCAGCAUGUGUGUUAGUGGAAGCGUCUGGAAAGGCGCGCGAUACAGGGUGACAGCCCCGUACACAAAAGCGCAUGUGCUGUGAGCUCGAUGAGUAGGGCGGGACACGUGGUAUCCUGUCUGAAUAUGGGGGGACCAUCCUCCAAGGCUAAAUACUCCUGACUGACCGAUAGUGAACCAGUACCGUGAGGGAAAGGCGAAAAGAACCCCGGCGAGGGGAGUGAAACAGAACCUGAAACCGUGUACGUACAAGCAGUGGGAGCCCCACCACUAAGCCAGUGGUGAACUCCACAUACGCAUCCUUUGCGGAAGAUGCGGUUAACGGAGCGAAAGCGACGUUCAACCUAAAAAGAAGCAGAGGGGGCUUAGUGGUGGGGUGACUGCGUACCUUUUGUAUAAUGGGUCAGCGACUUAUAUUCUGUAGCAAGGUUAACCGAAUAGGGGAGCCGGAGGGAAACCGAGUCUUAACCGGGCGUUAAGUUGCAGGGUAUAGACCCGAAACCCGGUGAUCUAGCCAUGGGCAGGUUGAAGGUUGGGUAACACUAACUGGAGGACCGAACCGACUAAUGUUGAAAAAUUAGCGGAUGACCUGUGGCUGGGGGUGAAAGGCCAAUCAAACCGGGAGAUAGCUGGUUCUCCCCGAAAGCUAUUUAGGUAGCGCCUCGUGAACUCAUCUCCGGGGGUAGAGCACUGUUUCGGCCAGGGGGCCAUCCCGGCUUACCAACCCGAUGCAAACUGCGAAUACCGGAGAAUGUUAUCACGGGAGACACACGGCGGGUGCUAACGUCCGUCGUGAAGAGGGAAACAACCCAGACCGCCAGCUAAGGUCCCAAAGUCAUGGUUAAGUGGGAAACGAUGUGGGAAGGCCCAGACAGCCAGGAUGUUGGCUUAGAAGCAGCCAUCAUUUAAAGAAAGCGUAAUAGCUCACUGGUCGAGUCGGCCUGCGCGGAAGAUGUAACGGGGCUAAACCAUGCACCGAAGCUGCGGCAGCGACACUGUGUGUUGUUGGGUAGGGGAGCGUUCUGUAAGCCUGCGAAGGUGGCCUGUGAGGGUUGCUGGAGGUAUCAGAAGUGCGAAUGCUGACAUAAGUAACGAUAAUGCGGGUGAAAAACCCGCACGCCGGAAGACCAAGGGUUCCUGUCCAACGUUAAUCGGGGCAGGGUGAGUCGACCCCUAAGGCGAGGCCGAAAGGCGUAGUCGAUGGGAAACAGGUUAAUAUUCCUGUACCUGGUGUUACUGCGAAGGGGGGACGGAGAAGGCUAUGUUGGCCGGGCGACGGUUGUCCCGGUUUAAGCGUGUAGGCUGGUUUUCCAGGCAAAUCCGGAAAAUCAAGGCUGAGGCGUGACGACGAGGCACUACGGUGCUGAAGCAACAAAUGCCCUGCUUCCAGGAAAAGCCUCUAAGCCUCAGGUAACAUCAGAUCGUACCCGAAACCGACACAGGUGGUCAGGUAGAGAAUACCAAGGCGCUUGAGAGAACCCGGGUGAAGGAACUAGGCAAAAUGGUGCCGUAACUUCGGGAGAAGGCACGCUGACACGUAGGUGAAGCGGUUUACCCGUGGAGCUGAAGUCAGUCGAAGAUACCAGCUGGCUGCAACUGUUUAUUAAAAACACAGCACUGUGCAAACACGAAAGUGGACGUAUACGGUGUGACGCCUGCCCGGUGCCGGAAGGUUAAUUGAUGGGGUCAGCGCAAGCGAAGCUCCUGAUCGAAGCCCCGGUAAACGGCGGCCGUAACUAUAACGGUCCUAAGGUAGCGAAAUUCCUUGUCGGGUAAGUUCCGACCUGCACGAAUGGCGUAAUGAUGGCCAGGCUGUCUCCACCCGGGACUCAGUGAAAUUGAACUCGCUGUGAAGAUGCAGUGUACCCGCGGCAAGACGGAAAGACCCCGUGAACCUUUACUAUAGCUUGACACUGAACACUGGUCCUUGAUGUGCAGGAUAGGUGGGAGGCUUUGAAGUGUGGACGCCAGUCUGCAUGGAGCCGUCCUUGAAAUACCACCCUUUAAUGGCUGGUGUUCUAACGUAGACCCGUGAACCGGGUUGCGGACAGUGUCUGGUGGGUAGUUUGACUGGGGCGGUCUCCUCCUAAAGCGUAACGGAGGAGCACGAAGGUUGGCUAAUCCUGGUCGGACAUCAGGAGGUUAGUGCAAUGGCAUAAGCCAGCUUGACUGCGAGCGUGACGGCGCGAGCAGGUGCGAAAGCAGGUCAUAGUGAUCCGGUGGUUCUGAAUGGAAGGGCCAUCGCUCAACGGAUAAAAGGUACUCCGGGGAUAACAGGCUGAUACCGCCCAAGAGUUCAUAUCGACGGCGGUGUUUGGCACCUCGAUGUCGGCUCAUCACAUCCUGGGGCUGAAGUAGGUCCCAAGGGUAUGGCUGUUCGCCAUUUAAAGUGGUACGCGAGCUGGGUUUAGAACGUCGUGAGACAGUUCGGUCCCUAUCUGCCGUGGGCGCUGGAGAACUGAGGGGGGCUGCUCCUAGUACGAGAGGACCGGAGUGGACGCAUCACUGGUGUUCGGGUUGUCAUGCCAAUGGCACUGCCCGGUAGCUAAAUGCGGAAGAGAUAAGUGCUGAAAGCAUCUAAGCACGAAACUUGCCCGAGAUGAGUUCUCCCUGAGACUUUAGUCUCCUGAAGGAACGUUGAAGACGACGACGUUGAUAGGCCGGGUGUGUAAGCGCAGCGAUGCGUUGAGCUAACCGGUACUAAUGAACCGUGAGGCUUAACCUU